rnacentral:misc_RNA from 2 species
CGGAGUUCAGUCUUCCCAGGCCCACCACUUUCAUCGAGUGAGCAUUCGUCUUCUGGUUACGGGGCCAUAGCUCAGCUGGGAGAGCGCGUGCUUUGCAAGCAUGAGGUCGUCGGUUCGAUCCCGUCUGGCUCCACCAGAUGGUUUGAUCACCGAGAUCUUGUACCGUCGUCCGCGAAACAUCACUUCGCAUCCUGCUAGUCUGGAUAGACAGCAAGAUGCGUGUUUUCUGACAUCGUAAAGAGGAGAUCGAUCCGAGUUGGGUCGUGCAGCGGAUUGUUGCGCGAAUCCUUCAUUAUCUCCGGAUCAUUUUCGGCGCUCGCUUUCAGCCGUGAGGUUGAAUGCGAGUUGUAAAAUGAUCCUUUUAGCGAAGCUUGACCGCCUCGCUAUCGGAACGAUCUUACGAAGCAAGCUGGUCUUUCUAGUCAAUGUCCGGCUGUGCGUAGCGUUCAUCGAGGGCGCGUGCCGUAAGGCAAUCGUACAGACAACAUUCUGCCGAGUGUGUGGACAUUGAUAAUGAGAGCAAUCAAGUGCCUUAAGGGUGUUCGGUGGAUGCCUUGGCGCUGAGAGGCGAUGAAGGACGUGCUACGCUGCGAUAAGCCGUGGGGAGCUGCGAAGAAGCUUUGAUCCGCGGAUUUCCGA